rnacentral:rRNA from 1 species
AUAGCUAUAUCACCCUGCAGCCCAAGACUGGGUACCCACUGAAGCUAAGCAGGGUUGAGCCUGGUCAGUACCUGGAUGGGAGACCUCCUGGGAAAACUAGGUUGCUGUUGGAA